UUCAGUACUUAUACUAUUACUGAUCAUAAUGGCAUUACACAAGAAUUACAUCACAAAUACUAUCAAUGGGUUAGUAUCGUGCUCGUCCUACAAGCUGUAAUGUUUUAUAUUCCCAGAUAUAUGUGGAAAUGCUGGGAAAAUGGAAGAAUUAAGGCUUUAACUCAGGAUCUCGUGGGUCCUUUAGUGUCUCAAGAACAAUGGACAACCGCUAGGAGAAAUUACU